AUGCCUUCUCCUAGAAAUCAGUUCAAAAAACUUCAACGGUUUGACAACAUCUGGAUAGAGCACCAGGACAUAGAGUAUAUAAUUGAGAAUAUUUGGAAAUUCCACAAUCACAAGGACACUCAAGAUAAAAUUCAUAAUACCCUUGAUACUUUGUGUAAAUGGGGAAAAAAGACCUAUGGGAAUCCCACCAAAGUCAUUGAAAAAGUGAAAGAGGAUAUCAACCGCCUCCAGAAAAACAAUUCCUACAAUCAAAACUAUGAUAGUAUCAGAAAUCUCCGGAAUAGAUUAGACACUCUGCUGCAUCAGGAAGAUCUGGUGGGCACAAAGAGCUAA